rnacentral:lncRNA from 1 species
GUAAGCCUAGUGAUGUUGCCUAGCUAAGUUCUAAGCUGAUACCUUUCUAUGUGAAAGCAGUUUUCACUCAUUUAAAUAUUGAACAAGUAUUUGUUGGUGUUUAUUACAUGUACCAGUGACUGGAAAGAAGCUGGGUACGAGUGAACAAGAUGCAGUCGUACCUGAAUUCAGAAGGCUUGUUUAUCCUCUUGCUAGUGAAGUGAAAGAUAGAGGCAGGUGUAAAUUAGGGUGUCUAAUGCCACCUUAAUAUCUAAUGACACCGAAUCAGCUGUCAGAGAGGACUUAAAGAUGUUGGACUACCCAGAGAAAAGUGAUAGAACAGCAGCAUCCUCCAGUUCAGAUCUGCAUUGGAAACUCAGUUGCCUCUCUGUGCCUCAUUUGUACAUCUGAGAUAAAAGUAUCAAUUUUGUAAUGAUGCAUUUUAAUGUCUGUGUGUGGGGAAAAAAUCAUUAGGGCUUAGCAAUUCCCUGUUAUUGUUACUAGGUAUGUAGAGAAAAGAGUGGAGAGCAUGCUGGACAAAUCAGACAGCUUGUGAAGGAGGCCUUGGGGUGAAACAAGUUAGGUUGUUGGGAGAUUAGUGAUAGCAGAUGGCUGAGCAGAAUCCACAGAAGUCCUUUUCAGGCCAUGUUAAGGGAUUGGACUUUUUCUUGAGGGCAAUUAUAAAUUUAUCACAAAAUACUAAGUAGCAACAUUAAGCAUUUCUUUUUAGGAGAAAAAAAAGAGGUGCCCAUAAGAACCCUGAAAAGCAGGAAAAGAAAGGCAGUUUGUCCCUGAGCACAGUGAGGCCUUAAAUUGCCCAAAGUUUAUUAAUUCCAAUCCAGGACUUACCUGGUAACAACUUGUGCUGUUUAUGUUGUGUUUCACUAUUGGGAAAUUAACUUGCAUGUCUUAAUAGCUUGACAAGGAAGAUGGUAUGUAUAGUGAGAUAACAGGGGUUUGAUGAAUUCAUGCCAUGCUCAACAUACUGUUAAAACUAACGUUAAUGAGAAUCUACCAUGUAUUACAUACCAAGCAAGAUCUGUGCUAGGCUCUGACAUACAGUGUAUGUAAGAUAUGGCCUCAGGAUGUUUCGGUUGUGGGAACCCAUAGUGACUCCUCUUGUGUCUUUAUUCCAUCUUGACUUAAGAUUAGACAGUUCUCGUUUGUUUUCACUCCUUCAAGAUCAAUCAUUGGAUCUUUGGACUAAAGUGUAGUUGCUGUAUGUCUUCCUUAGAUAACAGGAUGCUUAGCCAAGGAUGUGACUGCUGGAUAUUUUGCUUCUUAAAACAUAAUAACAGGAUGUUUGAGCUAUUAGAUGUUUCGAGUGUUCUUUGUAUCAUGGGGGGAAGUCUUUUUGGCCUCCCCCUUUUGCUUGGGGUAUAAAGGGGAUAUGAAAAAUAAACUAGGGGCAGAUUCAGUAUUCACUGGAAUGCCCUCCUGACUCUAUCCUGUGUGUGUCUUUUCUUUAGUAUCUUUAAUUUUCUACCUGCCAUUUCUCAAUCCACACUCCUCCUUUCAAGCACAGACCAACAGAUAGCACCGUGGACUUUGGGGCUUGAAUAUAGAGGAUAAAGUGAUGGACACUGCAGUGUGAAGAGAGCUCUCUUGGAUAAAAGUGAAGUUCAUUGAGCAAAACUCAGGAGUAAAAAUUGUAAAUAAUUGUGGACAUGAGACAAGGAAGAACAGUUUUUGAUUGUACAUUCACUUAGAGAUAUUCUGAAGACCAGGGGAGCUAAAGUAAACUGCAAAUACAGAAAUUUUUAGAGUUUAUAAAGCAGAUAUGCCCUUGGUUUCCAGAGCACAGAACUUUGGAUCCAGACACAUGGGCAAGAAUUGGGGUGAAAAUCCAACAACAUGAGUAUGGGCAUGGAAGCGUCCCAAUAGAUGCCUUUAGGCUGUGAGUGCUUAUACAGGCACACCUAGAAUCAGGCCCCAAACGGCAGGAGGCCUCCACACCACAGGAGGAAUUGCUAGGUGAGGAAGUGAAGUGUUUAGGAGAUGGAUUGCAAUUAGUCCAAUCCUGAUGAGCUAGAGGGAGAAGCCCCAAAAUACCAUAGUGAGGGGUGGUCACCUCUCUCGAUUUUUUACCAGGAAUACAGGGAGACAGAAACCUAGUGGUGAGAUUCAGCAGGAGCUAAAAGGCUUGAGAGAUCCAGUAUCAUCACUUUCACACUAGUUAGAAACUCUGCAAGUCUCCUCAGACAGGAAGAGUAUCCCUCUUCCUACUGUAGUGAGUGGUUUAGAUCCACCUGUGGUGUGUGGACUUCCUGGAGCAUGGCAGUCAUGAGUCUCCUCUGCAAGCUAGUAUCAGGGAGGCCUCCGACAGGGGCAGAUGUACAAGGGUUUCAAAUGUUUCUUGUAGUAGAGCAGAGAGAUGCUCGGGGAAAUCAAGUUACAAUGCAUCUCCCAACUCAAGGAAUUAAAAGCAUCAUGCACUCAGUUCGGACCUAAUGCAGCCCUUACUCAAAUUCUCUUGCCUAGAAGCCUUGCCUCCCAGGGAUUGGAAACAGAUAGCCAGAGCUUGCACGUCUGGGGAGAUUAUGUUAUGGAAGACUGAAUUUGCAGAAGAAUGUCAGGCCACAGCUGAGAGAAACCAAGCCCAGCAGGAAGAAAAUGAAGUUCAAUGAAUGGCUCCCUGAACAUUUGAUGCAGUGUGUGCAGCAGAGGAAUGCCAGCCCUAAUGACAUGAUUGCUGUGGAGGCCCUCCCAGAGGAGUUCAAGUGAAACUUGCUGAACCUGUGUUCUUGACCCUCUGAUGUCAUCAUUCUGUAGUUCUUGAAGGGAAGGAGAUUGUGAUGAUGAAUGGCUCCCACAAAAAAGGGUGUCAAGAAGAAGAAGGGCCGUUCUGCCAUUAACGAGGUGGUGACCCAAGACGAGAAUACACCAUCAGCAUUCACAAGUGUAUCCAUGGCGUGGGCUUCAAGAAGUGUGCUCCUCCGGCACGCAAAGAAAUCCAGAAAUUUGCCAUGAAGGAGAUGGGGACUCCAGAUGUGUGCAUUGAUACCAGGCUCAAUAAAGCCGUCUGAGCCAAAGGAAUAAGAAAUAUGUCAUACCGUAUCCGUGUAUGUUUGUCCAGAAAACGUAACACAGAUGAGGACUCACCAAACAAGCUGUACACAUUGGUAACCUGUGUGCCUGUUACCACAUUCAAAAAUCUACAGUCAAUGUGGAUGAGAACUAACCUGCUGAGUGUCAAAUAAAGUUGGAGAACUGUCAAAAUAAAUAAAUAAAAAUUUUG